rnacentral:rRNA from 1 species
AAAUUGAAGAGUUUGAUCAUGGCUCAGAUUGAACGCUGGCGGCAGGCCUAACACAUGCAAGUCGAACGGUAACAGGAAGCAGCUUGCUGCUUCGCUGACGAGUGGCGGACGGGUGAGUAAUGUCUGGGAAACUGCCUGAUGGAGGGGGAUAACUACUGGAAACGGUAGCUAAUACCGCAUAACGUCGCAAGACCAAAGAGGGGGACCUUCGGGCCUCUUGCCAUCGGAUGUGCCCAGAUGGGAUUAGCUUGUUGGUGGGGUAACGGCUCACCAAGGCGACGAUCCCUAGCUGGUCUGAGAGGAUGACCAGCCACACUGGAACUGAGACACGGUCCAGACUCCUACGGGAGGCAGCAGUGGGGAAUAUUGCACAAUGGGCGCAAGCCUGAUGCAGCCAUGCCGCGUGUAUGAAGAAGGCCUUCGGGUUGUAAAGUACUUUCAGCGGGGAGGAAGGGAGUAAAGUUAAUACCUUUGCUCAUUGACGUUACCCGCAGAAGAAGCACCGGCUAACUCCGUGCCAGCAGCCGCGGUAAUACGGAGGGUGCAAGCGUUAAUCGGAAUUACUGGGCGUAAAGCGCACGCAGGCGGUUUGUUAAGUCAGAUGUGAAAUCCCCGGGCUCAACCUGGGAACUGCAUCUGAUACUGGCAAGCUUGAGUCUCGUAGAGGGGGGUAGAAUUCCAGGUGUAGCGGUGAAAUGCGUAGAGAUCUGGAGGAAUACCGGUGGCGAAGGCGGCCCCCUGGACGAAGACUGACGCUCAGGUGCGAAAGCGUGGGGAGCAAACAGGAUUAGAUACCCUGGUAGUCCACGCCGUAAACGAUGUCGACUUGGAGGUUGUGCCCUUGAGGCGUGGCUUCCGGAGCUAACGCGUUAAGUCGACCGCCUGGGGAGUACGACCGCAAGGUUAAAACUCAAAUGAAUUGACGGGGGCCCGCACAAGCGGUGGAGCAUGUGGUUUAAUUCGAUGCAACGCGAAGAACCUUACCUGGUCUUGACAUCCACAGAACUUUCCAGAGAUGGAUUGGUGCCUUCGGGAACUGUGAGACAGGUGCUGCAUGGCUGUCGUCAGCUCGUGUUGUGAAAUGUUGGGUUAAGUCCCGCAACGAGCGCAACCCUUAUCCUUUGUUGCCAGCGGUCCGGCCGGGAACUCAAAGGAGACUGCCAGUGAUAAACUGGAGGAAGGUGGGGAUGACGUCAAGUCAUCAUGGCCCUUACGACCGUGGCUACACACGUGCUACAAUGGCGCAUACAAAGAGAAGCGACCUCGCGAGAGCAAGCGGACCUCAUAAAGUGCGUCGUAGUCCGGAUUGGAGUCUGCAACUCGACUCCAUGAAGUCGGAAUCGCUAGUAAUCGUGGAUCAGAAUGCCACGGUGAAUACGUUCCCGGGCCUUGUACACACCGCCCGUCACACCAUGGGAGUGGGUUGCAAAAGAAGUAGGUAGCUUAACCUUCGGGAGGGCGCUUACCACUUUGUGAUUCAUGACUGGGGUGAAGUCGUAACAAGGUAACCGUAGGGGAACCUGCGGUUGGAUCACCUCCUUACCUUAAAGAAGC